GACGAACGCUGGCGGCGUGCCUAAUACAUGCAAGUCGGACGCAGUUGCGAACGGUUGAGUAACGCGUAGGAAACUGCCUAUCAGAGGGGGAUAACUAUUAGAAACGAUAGCUACUACCGCAUACUAUUAGAUGGACCUGGGUUGUAUUAGCUAGUAGGUGGGGUAAAGGCCUAUCAAGGCGACGAUACAUAGGCGACCUGAGAGGAGGAGCAGCCACACUGGGACUGAGACACGGUCCAGACUCCUACGGGAGGCAGCAGUAGGGAAUCUUCGGCAAUGGGGGAAACCCUGACCGAGCCACGCCGCGUGAGUGAAGAAGGUUUUCGGGUUGUAAAGUACUUUCAGCGGGGAGGCGUUACCCGCAGAAGAAGCACCGGCUAACUCCGUGCCAGCAGCCGCGGUAAUUC
rnacentral:rRNA from 1 species